ACCUCCUCUAACCUAGUAAACACAGAGGGUGUCACUAAUGUAUUGUUGUAAUAAUAUUGCUUAUGAACAACAUGCUAGAAACAGCACCACAUUAUUGUUGCAUACAUUAAAACAGUUUGAUAAUGCGUAUUGCAUCAUCUUGUUUUUUCCUGUGUGUUUCUUAAUGCAUGGUUGCUAUGCUACAGGACACCUGUUACCCAUGACGAUGGACAACCCCUUUAAUAACAGUGGGGUGCAAAUGGAAGACAGCAUGUCUCGUCCCAACCCUCUCUCCCACUUCCACUCUCUCCUCACCUCCCUCUCUGCUGAGGAAACAGAUACCUACUCAGACACAGACAUGGACUCUGCUUCCCGCUUCUAUUUCCAGCCCAAUAGCACCAUGAAAUACCCUGACUCUGACCGUGAAUGGAACGUGACAGAGAGGUUGUGGAACUGUUCCAGUCUACCAAGCUUCAUUGAGCACAUGAGGAACUCUUCGGCUGGUCCCCAGUGUUUCCUGAGAGCGUUCAUCGCCCCCCUCUCUUGGGUUGCCCUGAUGAUGAAGGGUGGAGACGACAUGGAACCAGAAGAUUAUGGGAGGCUGGUGUGGGCCGCUAAACCCCUCCUACAGAACAUGCCCCCACCACAGAUGACCCUGCCUCCCUGGAUACAGAACCCCCACCUGGAAGAGAUGAUGAAGAUGAUGGGGCCCUUCCUUUCCGGGCUGCCCAUGGACGACAUCCAAACCAUCCCCAACGACCAGCUGUGUCCAUUCUUCCAUUCGCCCCAGUUCCCUUCCUCCUUCAGAGGGGUGGGGGGGCUCCCUCCUCUUCAGGGCAGAAAGAUACUCCAGAAGAUCAGAGAGUGUUCCCAGAAGAGAGGGGACUUGGUCCAGAACCUGGACAGACUGGGCUCGCUGGCAUGUUUCUAUGAUGACGCCCCAACCCUAAACUCCUCCAUGAGCCGGCUCCUCCUCUCUCAACUUGAUGACUGUAGCAACUCUGGAGUCAACAAGCUGAAGAAGAAGCUCGUCAACACUGUGAUGUCAUCAUCUGUGGAUGAUUCCAGUCCUGAGCUGCUGCGUGCGCUGGGUCCCGGUGUUACGCUGCUUUCCCCUUUCCAUCUCUCCCAGUUCUCCCCCGACGCCCUCAAGGACACCCUGAUGUCAUUGGGGUCAGAGGUGAAGUGGAGUCUGACCCAGGCCAAAACACUGGCCAAUAAACUACUGCAGGGGAAGCAGGUGAGAGAGGUGUUACUCUUAUAAAUAUGCCUUUGUCUCAGUCUACUAUUAACAGGCUUCUCAACUGGAAUGUUUAGGUGAUACUCUUCUAUUGUAUGAGGGGCCGAGGCAGGAACUAAUGGUGAAAUAGAGAGCAGCUCUAAAAACUCUCAUUUCUGUAUCUCUUCUCUUCUCUUCCUUCCUUCCUUCCUUCCUUCCUUCCUUCCUUCCUUCCUUCCUUCCUUCCUUCCUUCCUUCCUUCCUUCCUUCCUUCCUUCCUUCCUUCCUUCCUUCCUUUCUUCCUCCCUCCCUCCCUCCCCCUCUCUCUCUCUCUCUCUCUCUCU
rnacentral:lncRNA from 13 species